rnacentral:rRNA from 1 species
UACGAAGGGGGCUAGCGUUGCUCGGAAUCACUGGGCGUAAAGCGCACGUAGGCGGCGUCUUAAGUCAGGGGUGAAAUCCUGGAGCUCAACUCCAGAACUGCCUUUGAUACUGAGAUGCUUGAGUCCGGGAGAGGUGAGUGGAACUGCGAGUGUAGAGGUGAAAUGCGUAGGUAUCGGGAGGAACACCAGUGGCGAAGGCGACUACCUGGCCUGUUUCUUGACGCUGAGGCGCGAAAGCUAGGGGAGCAAACGGG